AUGGCAAGAACAUUAUCGGGAUCUGACAUGCAUGUGCGCCUGCCACAGAGGGUUGUCCGUUAGGUGCGGGUGCACAGUUGUCACAUGGCGUUGGUCAAUUUUUGCUUUGUGCUGGUGGGUUGAGUCACCCUUGUCGUGCAACCCCAGCAGUUAGUUAGGCUGUCUGACGAGACUGCCACUGUCAAACUGGAGGAAGGUGGGGAUGACGUCAAGUCAUCAUGGCCUUUAUGUCCUGGGCGACACACAUGCUACAAUGGUGGAGACAGAGGGUAGCCAACGCGCGAGGGGGAGCCAAUCCCAGCAAAUUCGUCGUCAUCUGGAUGGAGUGUUGCAAUCGACUUGCCGGAAUCGGGAUUUGUAUGGUAAUCGGUGAGUCAGCACAGCCGCGGUGAAUACGUUCCCGGGUCUUCACACGAAG
rnacentral:rRNA from 1 species